rnacentral:lncRNA from 1 species
CAAGGAUACCUUAGUAUAUAUCUGAAAAAGGACUAUGUGGUUACACAAAUAAACUUAUGAUAUUUAUGUUUGGAUGGAAACACAGUUGAGCCCAUCAUAAAACCCAAGGUUUCUUAUGGCCAUAUGCACUUCGCCUCGGUUGAGACUUGGCAUCAGCUUGCCCUACUUAUCGUUACCUGCAAUGUAAGGAUUACAUAAACUAAAGCCUAAUAAGAUAACACUUGAUGCAUGUAGUAAUUAUUAUGCAUAUAUAUAGAUGACCUUAUGAUCAUUAAGUUUUUAAAAGAAACCUAGAAAUACAAAACAACUUUAUUAGGGAGAUAGGCAUGUUGCACUACAAGGCUAGCACUUUUAUUCUUUAAAACAACAUGCCAUUGGGCCUAAUUAGUUGAUCUUUUGGGAGUUAUGUAUUGCCAUUCCCGAAAGAUUACUUUUUACUUAGCUUGGAGGGCAAGCCCUCUUUGGAAACUUUGCCACUUGGCAGCACAACAACCCAUUUUUCAAAAUUCAUUUUUAAAACUUUUUCUUUAUAAAGUAAUCCAUGAGAUACAUGCAUUCAAUGCAACUUAUAUCAUAACAUGUGAAGUUCCUAAAUGUACAAUAGAGCGGCAGUGCUAUAUAAAGACAUAACACUAUAUAAAGACAACAAUCUUUAAUAUAGGCGGCAGUGCUAUCCAUAUAGAGAUUAAACAAGAUGGGAUUAUAAUAUAGGCAGCAAAGCCGACCAUACAAGGGGUAAAUAAUAUAUAAAUAUCAUAAUAUAGGCGGCAUAGCCGACGAUAUAAGGAUAAAUAAGAAAAUAUCAUAAUAUAGGCAGCAUAACCGAUCAUAUAAGGAUAAAUAAGAAAAUAUUAUAAUAUAGGCGGUAUAUUCGAUCAUGUAAGAAUUAAGUAAGAAAAUAUCUUAAUAUAGGCGGCAUAGAUGACCAUUCAAAAAUUAAAUAAUAACCAAUCAAAUCAUAGUAGCCAUCACAAGAUAAAAAAUUAUUUAAAACUAAAUCUAAGUAUAAAAAAAAACUUUGUCCCUACAAUAUAAUUGAAGUGUUACUUACCUUUUAGCCUUGACUUCUCUAGACCUUCCUACUUGAGGAUUUCUCUACUCUUGAUGUUAUGGCUUAGAAUAGAAGAAGAUUGAAU